UGAAUACGAGACGCUAAGGCGUCGAAGUAGUGUAUGUCAUACUUCCAAGAAAAGCUUGCACUGUCAUAAAUAGAAAAUGCCUGUACCAUUACCGACACAGGUGGGUAGGUAGAGUAUACUAAGGGGCGCGAGAUAACUCUCUCUAAGGAACUCGGCAAAAUAACUCCGUAACUUCGGGAGAAGGAGUGCCUUAUUUAUAAGGUUGCAAUAACAAGAUCCAAGCAACUGUUUAUCAAAAACACAGGUCUCCGCUAAGUCGCAAGACGAUGUAUGGGGGCUGACGCCUGCCCAGUGCCAGAAGGUUAAAGAAGUUGGUUAGCACUUGCGAAGCUGAUAACUGAAGCCCUGGUGAACGGCGGCCGUAACAAUAACGGUCCUAAGGUAGCGAAAUUCCUUGUCGGGUAAGUUCCGACCCGCACGAAAGGCGUAAUGAUUUGGAUACUGUCUCGGAGAGGGGCUCGGUGAAAUAGACUUGUCUGUGAAGAUGCGGACUACCUGCACCAGGACAGAAAGACCCUAUGAAGCUUUACUGUAACUUGAAAUUGAAAUUGGACUUUAUUUGCGCAGUAUAGGUGGGAGGCGUUGAUUGUAAUCUUGCGGGAUUAUUGGAGCCAUCAGUGAGAUACCACUCUUGUAAUGUUAGAUUUCUAACUUUGUAUCAUUAUCUGGUCAAAGAACAGUUUCAGGCGGGCAGUUUGACUGGGGCGGUCGCCUCCUAAACGGUAACGGAGGCGUACAAAGGUUUCCUCUGAACGGUUAGAAAUCGUAUCUAGAGUGUAAAGGCAUAAGGAAGCUUGACUGUGAGACCUACAAGUCGAGCAGGGACGAAAGUCGGUCUUAGUGAUCUGACGGUACUGAGUGGAAAGGCCGUCACUCAACGGAUAAAAGUUACUCUAAGGAUAACAGGCUGAUCUCCCCCAAGAGUUCACAUCGACGGGGAGGUUUGGCACCUCGAUGUCGGCUCAUCGCAUCCUGGGGCGGUAGUACGUCCCAAGGGUUGGGCUGUUCGCCCAUGAAAGCGGUACGCGAGCUGGGUUCAGAACGUCGUGAGACAGUUCGGUCCAUAUCCGGUGUAGGCGUUAGAAUAUUGAGAGGAGCCUUCUUUAGUACGAGAGGACCGAGAGGGACAUACCUCUGGUGUACCAGUUAUCGUGCCAACGGUAAACGCUGGGUAGCUAUGUAUGGAGUGGAUAACCGCUGAAAGCAUCUAAGUGGGAAGCCCACCUCAAGAUAAGUAUUCUCAC
rnacentral:rRNA from 1 species